rnacentral:rRNA from 1 species
GUAGGUGGCAAGCGUUGUCCGGAAUUAUUGGGCGUAAAGCGCGCGCAGGUGGUUCUUUAAGUCUGAUGUGAAAGCCCCCGGCUCAACCGGGGAGGGUCAUUGGAAACUGGGGAACUUGAGUGCAGGAGAGGAAAGUGGAAUUCCACGUGUAGCGGUGAAAUGCGUAGAUAUGUGGAGGAACACCAGUGGCGAAGGCGACUUUCUGGCCUGUAACUAACACUGAGGCGCGAAAGCGUGGGGAGCAAACAGGAUUAGAUACCCUGGUAGUCCACGCCGUAAACGAUGAGUGCUAAGUGUUGGGGGGUUUUACCCGCCCCCUCAGUGCUGCAGCUAACGCAUUAAGCACUCCGCCUGGGGGAGUACGGUCGCAAGACUG